GUAGGUGGCAAGCGUUGUCCGGAAUUAUUGGGCGUAAAGCGCGCGCAGGCGGUUCUUUAAGUCUGAUGUGAAAGCCCACGGCUCAACCGUGGAGGGUCAUUGGAAACUGGAGAACUUGAGUACAGAAGAGGAAAGCGGAAUUCCACGUGUAGCGGUGAAAUGCGUAGAGAUGUGGAGGAACACCAGUGGCGAAGGCGGCUUUCUGGUCUGUAACUGACGCUGAGGCGCGAAAGCGUGGUGAGCAAACAGGAUUAGAUACCCUGGUAGUCCACGCCGUAAACGAUGAGUGCUAAGUGUUAGGGGGUUUCCGCCCCCCUUAGUGCUGCAGCUAACGCAUUAAGCACUCCGCCCUGGGAGUACGGCCGCAAGGCUG
rnacentral:rRNA from 1 species